rnacentral:rRNA from 1 species
UAACGCGUGGGUAACCUGCCUCAUACAGGGGGAUAACAGUUAGAAAUGACUGCUAAUACCGCAUAAGCGCACAGUGCUGCAUGGCACAGUGUGAAAAACUCCGGUGGUAUGAGAUGGACUCGCGUCUGAUUAGCUAGUUGGUGGGGUAACGGCCUACCAAGGCGACGAUCAGUAGCCGGCCUGAGAGGGUGAACGGCCACAUUGGGACUGAGACACGGCCAA